CUUCUUUGCAACCAGCAAACAGUCCGUGGAGGUCACGGUGAUAACCAGUUCCAGCAAGCACGCCUCCUCCUCCUGGUUGAAACGUCGGCUGCCGGUUCCUUGCCUGAACCAAUCAUUUCAUCGGGUGUUGCAAAGCAGCACGUCUCUGACGGUGGUGGGCAGCAUCUAAAAUAGCCCCAAAGAUCUCUGCGUCCUGAUCUUCACACCCAGGUCCAGUGGAUGAGUUAGUGGUCUUAACCAGCCUGAACUGGACAAGGAGUCGACCCUCAGUUCCUGAAAAACCCAAGCACCUGUGCCCAUGGUGACCCAGGCGUCAGAGAUCUCAUCUGUACGAGUUGAUGUCUCGUUUUGUCACCGAUGACCGACCUGCCGCGGUCGGCAGGAGGGACAGGCCGUGUGAUGCUGAAUCUUCUACCAUCGCGGAGCCUGUCUUGUGGCAGAGUGUGGAGGAACGGGGCUCGAGGGGCAUCCUGCUGGAGGACAGCUGCACCCAGGUCCUACGUCCACUGUCCUCGGAGUGCCCCGGCAAGCCCGGCCCAGCUCUCCUCAGUCUUUGGCCUGUCUUGACCUAGUGACAAUGAGCUCCUCCUCCCCACUGGGGUCAGCUGGCGACACUCUCACCCGCAGCAGGCUCCUGAGUUGGCUUUGGUGCCACAAGAAGCAGCCCAUGCCCCUGGUCACAUUCCUGCCAGCUCUCCCUUAUCUGGUCCCACUGCUGCCCUUCCAACACCCUGGCUGGGGGCGGGGGGUGGUGGGUCACAGGCCUCCCAGGAUUUCCUCGUGACUCUUUCCCCCGUCUCCCCAGAAGGGGGUUUUGCAAAUUUUUCAGAAGCAGCGGCCAGACCACAGCCAGGGCCUCUGCUCCACCUCUGUCCCCCGGGAGAUGUCGUGUGGCAGCCUGGCCACUUCCUUCACCAACUGGGGUGUGCUGGCCACUCAGGUUUUCAGCUCUGAACAAUAAAACUCUCAGGUCCCCUUGCAGAUGGACACGCACUGUCCUGGCCAUGUCCCACUGCUUGGGCUGGGCAGGGCGCACAGGUGUCUACACUUGCUCUCUCUGCACCUCUCUCUGUACACUGAUAUACAAUUCCUUACGUAUAUCAACAUCUCACAAACAUAAAACAUAACACUGGAGACUCGACGACACCCCAUCGCUGGCCUGCUGUGUACCAAGCUCCCGCGUCCUGGUCCCUGGCUCCCAGGAUGGUAGGAACCCUGCAGGCUCGGAGCAGCCUCUCCACAUGAGCGCUGGUCUGUGC
ensembl:lncRNA